rnacentral:rRNA from 1 species
AUUGAACGCUGGCGGCAUGAUUUACACAUGCAAGUCGAACGGUAACAGGCCGCAAGGUGCUGACGAGUGGCGAACGGGUGAGUAAUGCAUCGGAACGUGCCCAGCCGUGGGGGAUAACUACUCGAAAGAGUAGCUAAUAACGCAUACGAUCUAUGGAUGAAAGCGGGGGACCGUAAGGCCUCGCGCGAUUGGAGCGGCCGAUGUCAGAUUAGGUAGUUGGUGGGGUAAAGGCUCACCAAGCCAACGAUCUGUAGCUGGUCUGAGAGGACGACCAGCCACACUGGGACUGAGACACGGCCCAGACUCCUACGGGAGGCAGCAGUGGGGAAUUUUGGACAAUGGGCGCAAGCCUGAUCCAGCAAUGCCGCGUGCAGGAAGAAGGCCUUCGGGUUGUAAACUGCUUUUGUACGGAACGAAACGGCUCUGGUUAAUACCCGGGGCUAAUGACGGUACCGUAAGAAUAAGCACCGGCUAACUACGUG